CGCGGACCGGAAGUGGGUGGCGGAUGCUGUCAGGCAGGUGCCCUACCGAAAGGGCCCGUGUCCGGUUCCUCUCUAGGACUCUCGGAGGUCUCAGAAGGAGUUGUAUCUCUAUGGUCUGUCAUGGGCCCAGCUGAGGAUGAGGACCGCUUGGAUCCAUGAGGAAACUGAUGAUGGCUGAUAUCACUUUGGACUUCCUGGUCUUUGGGAAGAGCUCAGAUGCGAAGACACCAUGAAGAAGGUACUGAAGAAAGCCAAGAUGACUGCAGAGAGCAGGAAGACACGACCCAGAUUGGCCUGAACCAGCAAGCAGUUUAUGCUGUGUUGAAAUGGAAUUCAGCAUCUCUCCUGAAGCAGGUCAACAAUGUGCUAACUGAGCUGUCCCCAGACCUACAAGCUCCUUGAAUGACUAAAAUAUGUACAAAGGUUUGGUCUUGUAUGGGUGUUUGCUUAGAAUCCAAAGUUUGGACAACAGUCGGACAAGUCAGACCAGAGCUUCAGCGUCAUUGGACUUGCUCUGCAGCACACCUCUGACACCUGCUGGCCAAAUAUCAUCAUUGCAAUUUAAGUAAGACCAUAAGAGGCAAGGAUGACCUUCUGAGGAUUUGAGUGCCUGCCUAUCCUCCUGUACAGCACAUUUUCAAGGCCUGCAGUCCAGGCUCUCGCAGCUGCAGACUUGUGUCCUUGGAACAUACCCUGCCAAGGAAAACUUCUGCUCCC